rnacentral:rRNA from 1 species
AGUGAACGCUGGCGGUAGGCCUAACACAUGCAAGUCGAACGGCAGCACAGUAAGAGCUUGCUCUUACGGGUGGCGAGUGGCGGACGGGGGAGGAAUACAUCGGAAUCUACUUUUUCGUGGGGGAUAACGUAGGGAAACUUACGCUAAUACCGCAUACGACCUACGGGUGAAAGCAGGGGAUCUUCGGACCUUGCGCGAUUGAAUGAGCCGAUGUCGGAUUAGCUAGUUGGCGGGGUAAAGGCCCACCAAGGCGACGAUCCGUAGCUGGUCUGAGAGGAUGAUCAGCCACACUGGAACUGAGACACGGUCCAGACUCCUACGGGAGGCAGCAGUGGGGAAUAUUGGACAAUGGGCGCAAGCCUGAUCCAGCAAUACCGCGUGGGUGAAGAAGGCCUUCGGGUUGUAAAGCCCUUUUGUUGGGAAAGAAAAGCAGCAGGUUAAUACCCCGCUGUUCUGACGGUACCCAAAGAAUAAGCACCGGCUAACUUCGUG